rnacentral:rRNA from 1 species
AUGAACGCUAGCUACAGGCUUAACACAUGCAAGUCGAGGGGCAGCAUGGUCUUAGCUUGCUAAGGCCGAUGGCGACCGGCGCACGGGUGAGUAACACGUAUCCAACCUGCCGUCUACUCUUGGACAGCCUUCUGAAAGGAAGAUUAAUACAAGAUGGCAUCAUGAGUCCACAUGUUCACAUGAUUAAAGGUAUUCCGGUAGACGAUGGGGAUGCGUUCCAUUAGAUAGUAGGCGGGGUAACGGCCCACCUAGUCUUCGAUGGAUAGGGGUUCUGAGAGGAAGGUCCCCCACAUUGGAACUGAGACACGGUCCAAACUCCUACGGGAGGCAGCAGUGAGGAAUAUUGGUCAAUGGGCGAGAGCCUGAACCAGCCAAGUAGCGUGAAGGAUGACUGCCCUAUGGGUUGUAAACUUCUUUUAUAAAGGAAUAAAGUCGGGUAUGCAUACCCGUUUGCAUGUACUUUAUGAAUAAGGAUCGGCUAACUCCGUGCCAGCAGCCGCGGUAAUACGGAGGAUCCGAGCGUUAUCCGGAUUUAUUGGGUUUAAAGGGAGCGUAGAUGGAUGUUUAAGUCAGUUGUGAAAGUUUGCGGCUCAACCGUAAAAUUGCAGUUGAUACUGGAUAUCUUGAGUGCAGUUGAGGCAGGCGGAAUUCGUGGUGUAGCGGUGAAAUGCUUAGAUAUCACGAAGAACUCCGAUUGCGAAGGCAGCCUGCUAAGCUGCAACUGACAUUGAGGCUCGAAAGUGUGGGUAUCAAACAGGAUUAGAUACCCUGGUAGUCCACGCCGUAAACGAUGAAUACUAGGUGUUGGAGGAUUGACCCCUUCAGUGCCGCAGUUAACACAAUAAGUAAUCCACCUGGGGAGUACGACCGCAAGGUUGAAACUCAAAGGAAUUGACGGGGGCCCGCACAAGCAGUGGAGUAUGUGGUUUAAUUCGACGCAACGCGAAGAACCUUACCAAGUCUUGACAUCCCUCUGACCGUUCCUUAACCGGAACUUUCCUUCGGGACAGGGGAGACAGGUGGUGCAUGGUUGUCGUCAGCUCGUGCCGUGAGGUGUCGGCUUAAGUGCCAUAACGAGCGCAACCCUUGUUGUCAGUUACUAACAGGUUUCGCUGAGGACUCUGACAAGACUGCCAUCGUAAGAUGUGAGGAAGGUGGGGAUGACGUCAAAUCAGCACGGCCCUUACGUCCGGGGCUACACACGUGUUACAAUGGGGGGUACAGAGGGCCGCUACCACGCGAGUGGAUGCCAAUCCCAAAAACCUCUCUCAGUUCGGACUGGAGUCUGCAACCCGACUCCACGAAGCUGGAUUCGCUAGUAAUCGCGCAUCAGCCACGGCGCGGUGAAUACGUUCCCGGGCCUUGUACACACCGCCCGUCACACCAUGGGAGUCAGUAACGCCCGAAGUCAGUGACCUAACUGCAAAGAAGGAGCUGCCGAAGGCGGGACCGAUGACUGGGGUG